rnacentral:rRNA from 1 species
AUGGAUCUUCUCCAGUUUGUGCUCAACUUUAAAGGCACACCACCAUGGCUGAACUCGACGGCCAUUACCGCCCUUACGGACCGUUGGAGGCCGGAGACGCACUCUUUUCACCUUGCUCUUGGUGAGAUGACCGUCACUUUGGAGGAUAUUGCGAUGAUCUCCGGUCUUCCGAUCGAGGGCAGGGCUCUUACCGGGAAGGUGAGGUCUGAGGGGUGGCGACAAAGGGUUGCAGGUUUGGUUGGUGUUGAACCUCCCCCGUGGAUUCAUGAAACAAAGAAGGAUCCUAGGCCAUCUGGUGUUUUGUUCUCGUGGCUACAAGAACAUUUUUACGAGUGCCCAGAGAAUGCCAGUCCGGCUGUUGUGGAGAGGUACGCCAGGGCUUACUUAUGGAAUCUUUUGACUCAAGUGGUGUAA